rnacentral:misc_RNA from 1 species
GGAAGGAUCAUUACCAAAAGAAACAAACCAUAGUGGAUUUGUUGUGAGCACUGCAAGGUGUUUUCUUCAAUUGAAUAACUAUUGAUUUUAUAUUACAACAAAACAAACACAACUUUUAACAAUGGAUCUCUAGGCUCUUGCAACGAUGAAGAACGCAGCAAAUUGCGAUAACUAAUGUGAUCUGCAUAUGCUUGUGAAUCAUCAAGUUUUCGAACGCAGCUUGCACUCUAACCUUUCGGUUAGAGUAUACCUGUUUGAGCGUUUGUAAGGAAACAAUCCAAGCAAUUGGGUAUGGAUAUUGGAUAAUUGUAUGUGUACAUCAUGUAAUGUGUGUGUGUGCGUACAGAUGUUCAUUGUCUAAAAUGUAGACUUAUAACCAAGGUGUGAAAGACGCGCGGGGAUAGUGAUGUAUAUAUAUUGGUUUCUAGUACCAAAAGGAACGAAACCAAUUUUCAUUGUCCAUACAACGUAUUUUAUAUAUUCACCUCUGGUUUUGUAUGUCUAAAGAGGUGGGGUGUGUGUGUUAUUGUUGUGUUCACGCAUAACUAUAUAUACUAUACUCCAUCUCUUCUUAACAAAAACCUCAAAUCAGGUAGGAUUACCCGCUGAACUUAAGCAUAUCAGUAAGCGGAGGAAAAGAAACUAACAAGGAUUCCCUCAGUAACGGCGAGUGAAGUGGGAAUAGUCCAACUUUAAAAUCUGGGUCGCAAGGCUCCGAAUUGUAGUCUAUGAAAGUUCUCAAGACCACGUUCCCUAUUUGCAAGUCUCUUGGAAAAGAGCACUAGAAAGGGUGACAGUCCUGUAGCAGACAGGUGUGUGUGAACGAGGUUAUAAUGAGUUCUUUUGAGAGUCGGGUUGCUUGGGAAUGCAGCUCAAAGUGGGUGGUAAACUCCAUCUAAGACUAAAUAAUGGCAAGAGACCGAUAGCGAACAAGUACCGUGAGGGAAAGAUGAAAAGCACUUUGAAAAGAGAGUCAAAAGUACGUGAAAUUGUUAAAAGGGAAACGAUUGGCGCCAGUAGCAUCUAGUACCUUCAGCCGUCCUCUGGACGGUGUAUUGGGGGCUGGAUCGGUUGAGCCUGAUUGUGACAGUUGUAUAUUGGCUGUGGAAGAUGGGGAUCUCUUCGGAGGUCUCUUUAUAGACGCAGUUGUAUGAGCAAUUGUUGUGAUCAGUUUAGCGAGCAUUCGCAUUGACUAGCGAGAAUUACGGAACAUUAUUUGUAUAGACAGCACGCUGACUAUGCUUUAAUGUCUGUGAUUACUUGUUAGGCAUGUCGCUCCACACAGAUCUGCUCAAUCAAAUGACGCUAAACGACCCGUCUUGAAACACGGACCAAGGAGUCCAACAGCCAUGCGAGUACGUGGGUAGAUAAAGCCCUAGUGCGUAAUGAAAGUAAGUUGGUAGGAAGGCGGCGGCGCCGGCACUAUCGGCCGAUCCUGAAGUUGCGACGGAUGGAUUUGAGUAGGAGCAUGUCUGCUGGGACCCGAAAGAUGGUGAACUAUGCUUGAAUAGGGCGAAGCCAGAGGAAACUCUGGUGGAGGCUCGUAGAGGUUCUGACGUGCAAAUCGAUCUUCAAAUUUGAGUAUAGGGGCGAAAGACUAAUCGAACCAUCUAGUAGCUGGUUCCCUC